rnacentral:rRNA from 1 species
CUACGGGCCGCAGCAGUGAGGAAUUUUGCGCAAUGGGGGCAACCCUGACGCAGCAACGCCGCGUGAGUGAAGAAGGCCCUUGGGUCGUAAAGCUCUGUCAAUGGGGAAGAAGUUACUUGGUAUUAAUAGUGCCUUGUAUUGACGGUACCCAUGAAGGAAGCACCGGCUAACUCCGUGCCAGCAGCCGCGGUAAUACGGGGGGUGCAAGCGUUAUUCGGAAUUAUUGGGCGUAAAGGGCACGCAGGCGGUCCUGGCAGUCAGAUGUGAAAGCCCAGGGCUCAACCCUGGACGUGCAUUUGAAACAGCAGGACUUGAGUACGGGAGAGGAAAGGGGAAUUUCUGGUGUAGAGGUGAAAUUCGUAGAUAUCAGGAGGAACACCGGUGGCGAAGGCGCCUUUCUGGACCGAUACUGACGCUGAGGUGCGAAGGCGUGGGUAGCGAACGGGAUUAGAUACCCCUGUAGUC